UAAAAGUUCCGCCCAGACGCUCCUGCUCAUUAACAACUGACGCGAAGCUCAGCCUUUGGUUUGGGGAUUUUCUUGGAAGCCGAGGUCCAAAGCCUCAGUCUGCAACCGAGGCGACCGCCCAGCUUACCCGUGGCUCUUCUGAGUAAAGGGAGGCCUCCCAGCAGAGCCUGAAAACCUCUAAAUUUGGCCGCAGGCUUCGAACCCUGACCGUCCCCGCCCAGCCUUGGGCUGCUGGGGUGGGGAUGAACUGGGCUAAAGACACUUGAGAGUUAGGAAGAAACAAACAAGCAGGGAAGUGGCCGGGAGACGAGAGAAGGGAGAAACACCAUUGGGAGGCAGCUGGUAGUCCCACCACAUCAAGGAAAAUAGGAUUCAAAAAGCAAACAAGAUUAGAGGAAAAAAAGCGAAACAGCUCUGCUAAGGUAAUUCCACUACACAUAUCCGAGAAGACACCCUGUGCCCCUAGAGGAACACGAAACAGUAACCA